rnacentral:rRNA from 1 species
CAUUGACGCUGGCGGCAGGCUUAACACAUGUCAAGUCCGAGCGGCAGGAGAAGGUAGCAUUGCUACUGAUCUUAGCGGCGGACGGGUGAGUAAUGCUUAGGAAUCUGCCUAUUAGUGGGGGACAACAUUUCGAAAGGAAUGCUAAUACCGCAUACGUCCUACGGGAGAAAGCAGGGGAUCUUCGGACCUUGCGCUAAUAGAUGAGCCUAAGUCGGAUUAACUAGUUGGUGGGGUAAAGGCCUACCAAGGCGACGAUCUGUAGCGGGUCUGUGUAGGAUCACGCCCCACACUGGGACUGAGACACGGCCCAGACUCCUACGGGAGGCAGCAGUGGGGAAUAUUGGACAAUGGGCGCAAGCCUGAUCCAGCCAUGCCGCGUGUGUGAAGAAGGCCUUAUGGUUGUAAAGCACUUUAAGCGAGGAGGAGGCUACUGAAGUUAAUACCUUCAGAUAGUGGACGUUACUCGCAGAAUAAGCACCGGCUAACUCUGUGCCAGCAGCCGCGGUAAUACAGAGGGUGCAAGCGUUAAUCGGAUUUACUGGGCGUAAAGCGCGCGUAGGCGGCUAAUUAAGUCAAAUGUGAAAUCCCCGAGCUUAACUUGGGAAUUGCAUUCGAUACUGGUUAGCUAGAGUGUGGGAGAGGAUGGUAGAAUUC